AUACGUAGGGUGCAAGCGUUAAUCGGAAUUACUGGGCGUAAAGCGUGCGCAGGCGGUUUUGUAAGACAGUGGUGAAAUCCCCGGGCUCAACCUGGGAACUGCCAUUGUGACUGCAAGGCUGGAGUGCGGCCGAGGGGGAUGGAAUUUCGCGUGUAGCAGUGAAAUGCGUAGAUAUGCGGAGGAACACCGAUGGCGAAGGCAAUCCCCAGGGCCUGCACUGACGCUGAUGCACGAAAGCGUGGGGAGCAAACAUGAUUAGAUACCCUGGUAGUCCACGCCCUAAACGAUGUCAACUGGUUGUUGGGUCUUCAUUGACUCAGUAACGAAGCUAACGCGUGAAGUUGACCGCCUGGGGAGUACGGCCGCAAGGUUGAAACUCAAAUGAAUUGACGGGG
rnacentral:rRNA from 1 species